rnacentral:misc_RNA from 1 species
UUCAUUUUCAAUGAUGCAGAGGUAGGAUAUGGCUUGGUAGCCAGCUUAAUUUAUUUAUGAAUUUAACUUUUGCAAUUGGACCUCUCCAGUUUACAAAGACUGGAGAUGACUUGGUCUGCUUUAUGGUAGUCUAUAGUAUACUUAUGCAUAUACUAGAUGUUUAGCUUAAACAUGAUAGUCUUACGUUGUCAAGCUCAGUUGCAAAGAAAUGUUGAUUUUGUAUGCUGAAAUAUAUUCUGAUAUCAAACCAAAUAUUUCUACUUGGAAACUUAAUAGAUUGAUUUGCAGGUGUAUUUUAGGAGAAGUAAGUGACAGCUUUCUGUUUAAGGGAGAAAAAGAUGCUUAUUAUAAUUUAUUUAUCUUCCGAGAAUAAGUGAAUAACUAUGACAAUUGUUGAUAUAGGUUCAU